rnacentral:rRNA from 1 species
CACUCCUACGGGAGGCAGCAGUGGGGAAUAUUGGACAAUGGGCGCAAGCCUGAUCCAGCCAUGCCGCGUGAGUGAUGAAGGCCCUAGGGUUGUAAAGCUCUUUCACCGGUGAAGAUAAUGACGGUAACCGGAGAAGAAGCCCCGGCUAACUUCGUGCCAGCAGCCGCGGUAAUACGAAGGGGGCUAGCGUUGUUCGGAUUUACUGGGCGUAAAGCGCACGUAGGCGGACUAUUAAGUCAGGGGUGAAAUCCCGGGGCUCAACCCCGGAACUGCCUUUGAUACUGGUAGUCUUGAGGUCGAGAGAGGUGAGUGGAAUUCCGAGUGUAGAGGUGAAAUUCGUAGAUAUUCGGAGGAACACCAGUGGCGAAGGCGGCUCACUGGCUCGAUACUGACGCUGAGGUGCGAAAGCGUGGGGAGCAAACAGGAUUAGAUACCCCAGUAGUCCCAUGA